UAGGGAAUCUUCCGCAAUGGGCGAAAGCCUGACGGAGCAACGCCGCGUGAGUGAUGAAGGUCUUCGGAUCGUAAAACUCUGUUAUUAGGGAAGAACAAAUGUGUAAGUAACUAUGCACGUCUUGACGGUACCUAAUCAGAAAGCCACGGCUAACUACGUGCCAGCAGCCGCGGUAAUACGUAGGUGGCAAGCGUUAUCCGGAAUUAUUAGGCGUAAAGCGCGCGUAGGCGGUUUUUUAAGUCUGAUGUGAAAACCCACGGCUCAACCGUGGAGGGUCAUUGGAAACUGGAAAACUUGAGUGCAGAAGAGGAAAGUGGGAUUCCAUGUGUAGCAGUGAAAUGCGCAGAGAUAUGGAGGAACACCAGUGGCGAAAGCGACUUUCUGGUCUGUAACUGACGCUGAUGUGCGAAAGCGUGGGGAUCAAACAGG
rnacentral:rRNA from 1 species